rnacentral:rRNA from 1 species
AACGUAGGAGACAAACGUUAUCCGGAGUUACUGGGCGUAAAGGGCGUGCAGGUGGUCUGUUAAGUCUGGCGUGAAAGCUCUCGGCUAAACCGGGAGAGGUCGUUGGAUACUGGCGGACUAGAGGACGGUAGAGGCGUGUGGAAUUCCUGGUGUAGCGGUGAAAUGCGCAGAUAUCAGGAGGAACACCGGUGGCGAAGGCGGGUCUCUGGGCUGUAACUGACGCUGAGGAGCGAAAGCGUGGGUAGCGAACAGG